rnacentral:lncRNA from 1 species
CUCUUCCACCGCCCUCCCCUUUUCGGUGAGGGCCGCGGGGCGAGGGAUGGUCGAGGGAGGGUCGAGGAGGACGUUAUGGGUGGGCGGUGGCGGCAAGGGCGGGGUUUCUCUGAGUCGGGUCAACAUAGUUGGCCGGUCCCUUACCCCCCGCACUGCACCCUGCAUUUCCGGGUUGCAAGGCGGCGCCUGGGCCUUGUUGUGGAAGAAGCAAGGUUGCUCUUGCGUCCCUUUACUACGUUAUUUUCCUCCUCAGAUUGGAAAUUAGAAAAAAGGGGAUUUAACGCCCCUCUAUUUCUGGCUAAACAUUCUCUGAAGCCAAGCCUUUGGUCAAAGAAAAACAAGUAUUAUCCUAAAACAUAUUUUAUGUACAAUUUUUAACGUCACUUAAAAGGC